rnacentral:tRNA from 1 species
GGUAUGGUUGUAGGUAACCUGAAGAAGCACUGGAUUUGGAAUCCAAAGACCUGGGUUAAAAUCCCACCUGUGCCA